GUCUAUGGCCAUGGCACCCUGAACAAGCCUGAUGUUUGAUAUCGGAAGCUACGCAGGGUCGGGCCUGGUUAGUACUUGGAUGGGAGACCACCUAAGAAGACCAAGUGCUGUAGACG
rnacentral:rRNA from 1 species